rnacentral:rRNA from 1 species
AACGAACGCUGGCGGCAUGCCUAACACAUGCCAGUCGAACGAGACCUUCGGGUCUAGUGGCGCACGGGUGCGUAACGCGUGGGAACCUGCCCUUAGGUUCGGAAUAACUCCCCGAAAGGGGUGCUAAUACCGGAUAAUGUCUUCGGACCAAAGAUUUAUCGCCUUUGGAUGGGCCCGCGUUGGAUUAGCUAGUUGGUAGGGUAAAAGCCUACCAAGGCGACGAUCCAUAGCUGGUCUGAGAGGAUGAUCAGCCACACUGGGACUGAGACACGGCCCAGACUCCUACGGGAGGCAGCAGUGGGGAAUAGUGGACAAUGGGCGAAAGCCUGAUCCAGCAAUGCCGCGUGAGUGAUGAAGGCCUUAGGGUUGUAAAGCUCUUUUACCCGGGAUGAUAAUGACAGUACCGGGAGAAUAAGCGCCGGCUAACUCCGUG